rnacentral:rRNA from 1 species
ACGGAGGAUCCAAGCGUUAUCCGGAAUUACUGGGCGUAAAGAGUUGCGUAGGUGGCAUGGUAAGCGAGUAGUGAAAGCGUUCGGCUCAACCGAAUAUCCAUUACUUGAACUGCCAAGCUAGAGGAUGAGAGAGGUAGAUGGAAUUCCUAGUGUAGGGGUAAUAUCCGUUGAUAUUAGGAGGAACACCGAUGGCGUAAGCAGUCUACUGGCUCAUUUCUGACACUAAGGCACGAAAGCGUGGGGAGCAAACAGGA